rnacentral:rRNA from 1 species
AUUGAACGCUGGCGGUAUGCUUAACACAUGCAAGUCGAACGGUAGCAGGCCUUCGGGCGCUGACGAGUGGCGGACGGGUGAGUAAUGCAUAGGAAUCUGCCUAUUAGUGGGGGACAACGUGGGGAAACUCACGCUAAUACCGCAUACGCCCUACGGGGGAAAGCUGGGGACCUUCGGGCCUGGCGCUAAUAGAUGAGCCUAUGACGGAUUAGCUAGUUGGUGGGGUAAAGGCCUACCAAGGCGACGAUCCGUAGCUGGUCUGAGAGGAUGAUCAGCCACACUGGGACUGAGACACGGCCCAGACUCCUACGGGAGGCAGCAGUGGGGAAUAUUGGACAAUGGGCGAAAGCCUGAUCCAGCAAUACCGCGUGUGUGAAGAAGGCCUGAGGGUUGUAAAGCACUUUCAAUAGGAAGGAAUACCUAUCGGUUAAUACCCGGUAGACUGACAUUACCUAUACAAGAAGCACCGGCUAACUCCGUGCCAGCCGCCGCAGUAAAAC